UACGUAGGGUGCGAGCGUUAAUCGGAAUUACUGGGCGUAAAGCGUGCGCAGGCGGUUUUGUAAGCCAGAUGUGAAAUCCCCGGGCUUAACCUGGGAAUGGCAUUUGGGACUGCAAGGCUCGAGUGCGGCAGAGGAGACUGGAAUUCCUGGUGUAGCAGUGAAAUGCGUAGAUAUCUGGAGGAAUACCGGUGGCGAAGGCGGCAUCCUGGACCGACAUUGACGCUGAUGAGCGAAAGCUAGGGGAGCAAACGGG
rnacentral:rRNA from 1 species